rnacentral:rRNA from 1 species
CCUACGGGAGGCUGCAGUGGGGAAUAUUGGACAAUGGGGGGAACCCUGAUCCAGCCAUGCCGCGUGUGUGAAGAAGGCCCUCGGGUUGUAAAGCACUUUCAGUGAGGAAGAACGCCUGGUGGUUAAUACCCAUCAGGAAAGACAUCACUCACAGAAGAAGCACCGGCUAACUCCGUGCCAGCAGCUGCGGUAAUACGGAGGGUGCGAGCGUUAAUCGGAAUUACUGGGCGUAAAGCGCGCGUAGGUGGCUUGAUAAGCCGGUUGUGAAAGCCCCGGGCUCAACCUGGGAACGGCAUCCGGAACUGUCAAGCUAGAGUGCAGGAGAGGAAGGUAGAAUUCCCGGUGUAGCGGUGAAAUGCGUAGAGAUCGGGAGGAAUACCAGUGGCGAAGGCGGCCUUCUGGACUGACACUGACACUGAGGUGCGAAAGCGUGGGUAGCAAACAGGAUUAGAUACCCUUGUAGUC